rnacentral:misc_RNA from 1 species
UUCACUCUCCAUUAUCUCCUGCAAUGGCGUCCAUCGCCGCUCAUGGUCUCGCAAUACCAGUCAACCGUUCUCACCGCCGGCUCAAUUCAGCUAAUACAACUACCGGUACCUCUGUCACUGCUGCUUCACUCCAUCCCCUUACAAUCAAGUCAAAACUACCGUCAUUUUCAUCUUCGCAAAACCCUAAACCCUCAUCCUCAAACACCCGUGACAAUUCUAACAUUUUUGCCUCAAAACAGCUCCAAAAUGUGGUGAAAACCUCCGCCGCCAUUGGUGCUGGUUUUUACGCGCUCUCUAGUGGUGUGUCUGAUGUUCUCCUCAGUGGGAACGGUGGUGGUGGAUCCGGAAGAGGUGGUUCUGGCGGUGGCGGCGGAGGCGGUGGAGAUAGUUUCUGGUCGAAGAUUUUCUCUCCUGCCGCGAUUGCAGGAGAAGAGGAAUCACAGGAAUGGGAUUCGCAUGGAUUGCCGGCGAAUAUUGUGGUACAGCUGAACAAGCUCAGUGGGUUUAAGAAGUAUAAGGUUUCCGACAUCCUUUUCUUCGACCGCCGUCGUGGGUCGACGGUUGGGACGGAGGAUUCGUUCUUCGAAAUGCUAUCCUUGCGGCCAGGUGGUGUUUACACAAAGGCGCAGCUCCAAAAAGAGCUAGAAACGCUAGCAACCAGUGGAAUGUUUGAAAAAGUUGAUCUUGAUGCGAAGACUAACCCUGAUGGGACAGUCGGGGUCACUAUAUCCUUCUUGGAAAGCACUUGGCAGUCAGCUGAUAAAUUUAGGUGUAUCAAUGUUGGGUUAAUGCCACAGUCGAAACCCAUAGAGAUGGAUGCGGACAUGACGGAGAAGGAGAAAUUGGAGUAUUUUAAUAGCCAGGAGCAGGAUUAUAGGAGGAGGAUAGAAAGGUCUAGGCCAUGUUUGUUGCCGGUGUCGGUGCAAAGGGAAAUUUUGCAGCUGUUGAGGGAGAAAGGAACAGUUAGUGCCAGAUUGCUGCAGAAGAUUAGGGAUAAAGUGCAGCAGUGGUAUCAUGACAAUGGAUAUGCUUGUGCUCAAGUAGUUAACUUUGGGAAUUUGAAUACAAAGGAGGUUGUUUGUGAGGUGGUGGAAGGGGAUAUU